GCCUUUAUUAGACAUUCUUUUAUUGCUCUUUUACAUCCAAAGUGUUUGAGGUAAAAAUAAGAUUGCCUACAAAAAAAAUUGUUGGCUAUACAGAGGUGGUAUUUGGUACAUUUCCAGAGCACUGGGAUUCCACCUGCUUCUAACUGGUAAGGCCAACAGGACAGCAAGGAAGAGCUGCACACCCAACAGUGACCCUUUGACGGCUAUGAAAUACACAUUAUUUUUCAGUCCCAGCUCACAUGAGGCUCAACAUUGAACCAGUAGGCUUAAGGUCUUUCUAUUAAGUAAACGGUUAAGGCCUAAUUGGAGCUUUUAUCUGCACCGUGUCACACUAACUGAUCAACCAUUGCUAGCAGUCGUAUAAAUGUCAUUUUAAGUACCUCCGCUGUACAGAUCCGAGCACUACAAGGACAGAGGAAAAUCCUCAGCUGCAAUUUCUCUCAAUAACAAAUAAAAAGCA